UACGAAGGGGGCUAGCGUUGCUCGGAAUCACUGGGCGUAAAGCGCACGUAGGCGGCUUGUUAAGUCAGUGGUGAAAUCCUGGAGCUCAACUCCAGAACUGCCUUUGAUACUGGCGAGCUUGAGUUCGGGAGAGGUGAGUGGAACUGCGAGUGUAGAGGUGAAAUUCGUAGAUAUUCGCAAGAACACCAGUGGCGAAGGCGGCUCACUGGCCCGAUACUGACGCUGAGGUGCGAAAGCGUGGGGAGCAAACAGG
rnacentral:rRNA from 1 species